rnacentral:lncRNA from 1 species
UAAUUAAUUAAUAGUCAAAAAUAAUUUUUCAUAUUAUCAUCCGUUAUUAAUCAAAAGAAUUACUUUCCGUAGUUGGACGAAAGAAAGGAGGUUUGACUAGGUUCCUUGAAAUUUUAUUAACUACUACUAAAAGUUAAUACUUACCUUAUCGAAUACAAUUUAAUCUAGAGCGGUACGCCCGUGUAAUUAUCAAUAGGAGACAUGAUAGUAGCAUAAUUAGUUAUUUAUAUUAUUUUAGCUCAAAAUGAUGAGCAUCAAAUCUACAUGUAAACAAAUGCUGGAAAUUUGACAAAGGCCGUCUGUCUAGAGUCUAGUCCAUCCAUUGAUUGAAUUUGUUUUGCUCCAUAAGUUCAUCCAAUUUCUCUCCCAAUCCGCUGCUACAAACUCGGCGUAGGAAAUGGAGGCGUCGUUCGUAUCCAGAGCAAAAACUGCCUUCCAUUCUGCUGCGGCUAAAGCGGAGAAAGUUUUCACUGACAUUAAAAAAUCUGAUCUCAUCAACGAUCCAGGUUCAUCCAUCUCAUUUCUCCUUUUCUUUUUUCAAUUUCUAUGACAAAUGCUUUUUCAUUACUGUUUUAAUUUCUUUUGUUGCUCUGUCCGAUAUUCAAAUUUGAACAGAUUCAGAUAACCAAUCGCCGGCGACGUCAACAAGUGAGAUUCCAGGCGAUAAGGACGAGUUGAAGG